rnacentral:rRNA from 1 species
UACGGAGGGUGCGAGCGUUAAUCGGAAUUACUGGGCGUAAAGGGCGCGUAGGCGGUGAAGUCAGUCGGGUGUGAAAGCCCCGGGCUCAACCUGGGAAGUGCAUUGGAUACUGGCAGACUUGAGUACGGGAGAGGAGAGUGGAAUUCCCAGUGUAGGAGUGAAAUCCGUAGAUAUUGGGAGGAACACCGGUGGCGAAGGCGGCUCUCUGGACCGAUACUGACGCUGAGACGCGAAAGCGUGGGGAGCAAACAGGAUUAG